UCAAAGACUAUUCUCCUCAACCAAUCAGAGGACAGAAAAAUCAGACGCCGUUUCUCAGUUUGCAUUCUUGAGUCCAUUCUAACAUCCUUGUUAGCUUGUGAAAAGUCACCAGUUGUGGCCCAAGUCCUGUUCCAGUUGAAAAUCCACGUCAACCAAAAAUGCACAGAAUACUCAGAUGUUGUUCUUGUUUGCUAGCUUAAACCACUCAUCCAUCAUUUGGUCACUUGUGAAGAAUUGGCUGAGAAAUUAUCUCAAGAUGCAAUUUGCGCUGCGAUUAAAAUAUCUGAAGAAAAGACUCACAUUUUGAAGUCCCCCCCCCCCUUUAUAAUUCACAGAAAUACGUCAGAAGUGAGAGCACACAGCCCUUCCAGUUACAAAGAAACGUGCGGUCUGAGGAAGUGUGUUGUCAAGUAUGGUCUUCAGAAGAUCGUACUUGCCGAGUUCACAAGACUGUACUCUGUGUUCUUGAUAUUGGGAAACGUCUUGAAGCCUGCUUGCAGGCCCUGCUUGGUGAACCUGAAAUGUGAUUGGUUAUUUUCAAUGAUCACAAAGGUGUUCAAAUCUGGUAGGACAAAAAAAAAAAAAACCAAAAGCACAAAAAACCCUACUGGAAGCUGGACAUCCAAGACACACUGUGAAAUGACCAUUGUAAGUAUUGUAAUAUAAUUUUAUGCCGUUUAUAAAUGGAGGUCAGCGCUUCUGAAAGUGGUCAUGCAACUGUUACUUCCCAGCCGCUUCCAUGUUGUUGUUAAUUCUUCGAAGCAAACAGUUUACUCCCAGAGGUGCCAACGUAUUUAUUUUUAGCUUAGCUGAAACCAAACAUUGAUAUCGGACUGGGAGGCAAAGGGCGUAGCCUAACGAGCCCGUCCGCGAGCUACGUUGCGGCUCUCACCCAGUAGGAUUCCGUUUGAUCCAGCGCAGCUUGAGGCCAUUGUUCGAUCAGCUCGGCGAGUGAUGCGCCAAGGCCGACCGCUUCUGGCCUUCAUCAAAACAGGCGGGGAUAAUGUUAUGGCAUCGGCGGGGGUUUGCAGUGGAAAGUUAUCCGGUAAAUAAGCAGCACAUUAGAUGGCAGGGGAGUGGAAGAGUUGAGCUGCACAGUCACCUUGGUGGCCUCUGAUUUGUUUUCCAUCCCAUCUCUGUGGUUCCCUAAAGAGAAGCUUGUGCUGCAGUCUGUGCCCUGGUGUUUGCUUUGUUCUCUUUCCACCCCUACUCCCCCACUGGCUCUGUUUUUUAACGAUCACUCCUGCUUGUGUUCAUCGUAUACUGAAGAUGAAACUUGCCCGACUCAUCAGUAUGUACAGUAUACGCGAACAUACAGUAACCUUUACAGGACAUGUACUCAUCAUGCGCAUUACUGCCUGCAGCUUCCUGGAGUGUCUCAGACGAUUGAUUCCCCAGUGUUCGUCUCCCGUGUUGAGAGUGAACAAGAGUUGUUUGAGCUGCUGUUGUCAGUGCAACACUGUACAGAAUGACCCUGAGCCGAGCCUGCAUGGCAUGAUGAUGAGCACACACGGAUCCAGCUGCACAUCGGAGAUAUUGACUCAAAAUGCCCGGAGUGUUGCUGCUGACGUUCAUAGAGGUGUGUUGGUGAUACAUGGCCCCCCAUAGAGGACACACAGGACCAAAUGAUAUUUCUUGUCAGUAGUAUAACGCACACGGUGUCACAUUGUCACCGCAAUAGAUACAACACACCUAAAUGUUGGCAUUUUCAUAGCAUCGGAGUCAAAUAACCCGAAAGAAGAUGCAUGUGAAUGCAUAUAUUACAGCCACCAAGAAGUCAUAAUUCUGAAAGACUGAUGGUGAGAUAUUCUGACAAGUCACGCAUUUGUGGAGGGGUGGGAACGUCUUCAUAUUCUUUCACACGAUCAAAACACCCAAUCAUUGCCACUUUUGAAAUGUGAAAUUCCUCAUUCAUGCCACAAGACGACGGCAAAGCCCGACAUGAAACUCCUCCUCAACUUAUUUCAACACAGUUCAUUAACCCCGAGACGCCACAAAGUGGUGCCAUCAUUUGAGUUAUUUUCAGUAGUUGUGAAGUUCUUCUUCGCUUGAAUCUGCAUGACUUGUGUUAUACUGCCACACGGUGGCCAAGUCGAGCACCCCAGAAGGAGCCACAAUGCAUUAAUCAUGAUGCGCCAUUUGUUUCAUUGUUUACUUUGUAUUUAAUGAUGUCAUUGCUGUAUAGUUUUCAAAAUAUUAUGUUUUUUGUUGUUUUAACAUAAGAAGUAAACAUAAGCUCUUAAACUUCUUCUUUGAAUUCCACCAAAUAUGCCUUGAUUGUGAUUCAUGCACUUGCCUGAUCUGAUGUUAAAAAAAACAGAAACUCUUCGGUGGAGGUCAUCAGAAAGAUUGAAAAUCUCUCCUUGUGGCAAAGGGAGAAUUAAAAGAAAAAAAAAUCAUUUCUUUUGACGCUCAAUACUCUCACUUUGUACGUCCAUUUUGGAGGAUUGACCACUUUCAGAUUUUUACUCCCAAGUACCAAUUCCAAGGAGAUAACAUCCCAGCCACUACUUGAGAUUUUGCAGUGUGAUUCUUAAAGCGCAACGUAAACGCUCCUGCCCAGAGAACCUCGCCGGCAGCUUAUUCCGUCACAUCUUGAGUCUAAUCUUCAUGGUUGCAGUGCCUCCUCGGAGAGAAUGACUCAGCCGGGCAACCUUUUGCUCAACUCUCAGCUUUUACUUGUCUCCUGGUUUUCUUGAGCCCGCUGUCAUUUCACCAGCUCAAAGCGUUAGUCGGAGCUGCUUCUGCUAGAACCUUUUGGGAAAAACGUCAGGAUAUACUUUGGGCUAUUGCCCUCCUCUAUUUAUUUUAUGAUGGGCUAAACAGCGACCGAGUGGUUGGCAUGUAUGCCUCAAAGGUUCCGAGGUUUGUAUCUCGGCUCGGGACGUCCUGUGUGGACUUGGCACGUUUUCUCUGGAUAUUCUGGCUUCUUUUUGUUUUUUCAAAAACAUGCAUGUUCGGUUCA